UCUCCAAGGGAAACGGAGAAAGUUCCAAAC
rnacentral:piRNA from 1 species